ACGGACACACACUACUCUGUUUUGUCAUUCCUGUUGCUGAUAUCAAACGAUCCUAUACACAGUGAUUAUGUGGAAACAGAAAAGGUCACUGCCCAAGACAUGAAAGAUGACAUUGACUGGGGAGCCUAUUUAUUGGAAGGCAUUGAAAGAUAUGAUCCCAGUGAUGGAGAGUUAUCAGAUUGGAGUGACGAUGAUGAUGACAGUGAAGAAGAGAAGUAUGUAAGACGUACUGCCCGCGAUAACAGUCAAUCGUUUGAUGAAAGGCAGACAGUAGCUCCAUAUAUUGUCUCAG